ensembl:lncRNA
AUGUUGCAGGACAUGGAUCAGCGGCUGCAGGAGGAAGGGUUGGACUCCUCGGCCUCCAGCGAUGAGCGUCUGUCUCUGCUGUGGCAGCUUUACAGGAGCAGCGAAAGUACCGUGAGAUCCCUCAACCAGCAGAUACAAGACUUGCAGAAGGAACGUGUUGCUGAGAUUGAAAAUGUGAGUACAGCCAAAGAAAUAGAACCUGGAGACUCAUCGUUUGGUCCCCUGCAUUUUAUUUCAGAUCCAUAUGAGUGCCUUUUUGUCUGUGGAACAAAAUGUUUAGACAGAAAAAAAAGGGAACCUGCAGUCUUGUUAUUUUACGUUGUCUAUGUUGUCAGGUUCAGCAAUAUGUUAAUCAAAUUAAGAGUCUCACAAAGACCCGAGAUUCUGUGGCUUUACAUCUUGAGCAAGAAAACAAAACGCUCCAUGCUACUCUGGAUGACAUCUACCGACAACAAGAAGCACAGAGGAGUGAGAUCUCUGAGAUGCUACUUCAGGAAGGUCUGGCUGAUAUUAUUCCCAUCAGCCUGAGUGAACAGGUGGCGUACCUCCUCGCAGACAGAGCCUCCCUGCUGGAGAAAACACAAAGCCAGGAGAAUGUGGACGGGAAGACCGCACAGGAGCCUGAUGUCCGUAAGGAGCAAACGUCAAAGGAGUGUAGAGAGAAUGUGGUCAAAAGGGUGGCACCACCAGACAUUCAGAGCCCUUGGAAGAGGCUUCUAGGACUCAGAAAGGCUGCUCAGAGUGAACAGAAAUUACUGCCUACGGUUGACCUGCAGUUCAGCAGGGAUGACACACUGAAGGGACGAACAUUGCAGGAACUGGAGCGAGAUGUAGAAGAGGCCUCUGCUCGACUCGCCAUGGCCCACAAGGAGAUCCGCAGACUCACGGAUGAGCUGGAGUCUGCUCACCUGACCCAAAAGGCUUAUGAACCAGAGCUGCAAGAAGCUCAAAUGGAAGUUGAGCACCUCCGUCAUGAAGUGGAGAAACUGAAACGCUGUGGUAUAAUUUAUUCGCCAUUUCUCUUUCUUUUGCAUCAUAUAGAUAACCUCUCAGUUGAACUCAUAGUUUGACUUUCUUUUAGUUAGAUGAAUUUUUUUUUUUUUUUUUUUUAGAAGUUGUGUAAUUGAGAAAAACGAAAAGGAUAAAUGAGAAAAAGGAA